AUAUAGGCAGAUUUCCUUUUUCAGCAACUAUUUGUUGACAAGCUUUGGGAAGGAAGGUGAUAUGAACAAAAACAUUUGGAAAAAAGAAGAUCCCUGAAAAGAAGAUUCAGACAGACAACUUUCAGAACCAGUUAUAAGUUGCUGGUUGGGAAGUCACAAAUAGUGAUCACAUGGAUGUUGCAACCAUCAUAAAUACAUGUCUGUUUCCAAGUGCCUGAAUUUUCAUCAUGUGGCUGUGAAAGAGGCCGUGAUGGUCAUAUGUGUGAGAACUGAAUCUGGCAUCAUCUGGGUUCCAGCUGAAAUGGUACUAGCUACUGUAUAGUGAAUGCCUAAAGUUUCAGUGCCGUCUGAGUCCAAAGCAAAACCAAGUGACUCAAAAAGAUAGACAAGAGAGGUCACCUAAGCAUCUAUCCCUAAGAUCUGAGGGAACAAACAGGCGUUUAAUGCCUUGAGAAAGGCCUUCAAAGGGUUGUGGCCAUCAGAAACUCAGGAGGUGAUGGAUGCUGUUCUACAGGAAGAUGCUGUGACAGAAGAUGCUGUGACAGAGUUAACAGACUUGAGUGCAUUUUUCUACUGCAAAUACUCUUCAGAUUUACCAAAUGGUCUAGUUUCUUUAACAGAAUCCUAAGCUUGCCACAUAGUAUAGGAGGGGGGAGAAAAUCUAGAAUGUCAGACCAGACAACAACAGAUCAUCCCGUGGGAACCAAGGUCAGCUCAACAGGUGCUGGCCAAAGACUAAGAGGAGUUGCCAAAGAGACACCAGAAUACCUAAUUGGACAAUGUGACCUAUGACAAUAAGGGAGGGAGUUAUCUAUUCUUUAACUAAACCACAGGAAAUAGUUAGCUCUGGUUUUGUUUUCAUCCGUGCCAAAAUGAUGUAUGCAAUAAAACAGUUCUUUGACAAAGU